ensembl:lncRNA
CUUUUGUUUGAGCACCUCCAAAUCACUUUGUCAUCUCCUCGGAAGAUAUGGACCAGGAAACGCUCUUGCUUUUAGACGACUUGACUAUAGCCUGAAGUUAAAGAAGAACAUAAACGACAGUGAGUAUUUUGUAAACGCCAUCUUUUUUUUAUGCACAAGGGGAGGUCCUCUGGACACACCAAGCUUGAGCAGUAGCCGGGACUUGCCAGAGUCAAAUGUGAGAUGACCAAGCGGCUGAACAACAUCUGGCUGGAAAACUAGGUUGCGGUGUCCAUGAGGGAGACCGCGAUCCAGAGAAAUCUGCAAGGCAGUUAACCACCAACAACAACUGCUUCCUGGACGAAGGACUUUUAUUUUCUUCAUUACCAUACUGAUUUCAUGUAGAAAUAUAUACAUUUAUCUGUUAAAGACAUUGAAUACAUGUUUAGCAUAUUUACUACAUAUAGCGUGUUUAGUUUCCUCUGUGAAGUAAGUUCAUUUAAAGUUAUGUGAUUUGGUUAAU